GACGAACCGUGCGAACGUUGUUCGGAAUCACUGGGCUUAAAGGGCGCGUAGGCGGGCUGCCAAGUCUGGGGUGAAAUCCCACGGCUCAACCGUGGAACUGCCUCGGAUACUGGCGGUCUCGAGGGAGGUAGGGGCAUGCGGAACUGUGGGUGGAGCGGUGAAAUGCGUUGAUAUCCACAGGAACUCCGGUGGCGAAAGCGGCGUGCUGGACCUCUUCUGACGCUGAGGCGCGAAAGCCAGGGGAGCAAACGGG
rnacentral:rRNA from 1 species